CAGGUGGAAAUCAGGGACUACCUUUUUGAGAAAGUAAAGCAGGCCUGCUCAUUAACAAUCGAGGAUCAUGGCUGUUGACACAUUGCAGUCGUCCAAGCUGUACGUCUGCGUCGUCGGCGCUGGGGCCUCCGGCCUCGUCUCCGCCCGUGAGCUCCUCAGGGAAGGCCACUCCGUCGUCGUGCUGGAGCAGAACCACGACCUCGGCGGCCAGUGGCUCUACCAAGACGUCGGCGCUGGCGCCGCCACAGUCCACAGCAGCGUCUACGCUUCCUUGCGCGUCAACGCGCCCAGAGCCUCCAUGGAGUUCACCGACUUCAUGUUCUCUCCCGUCGAAGGAAGAGACACCAGGAACUUCCCCGGCCACCGCGAGUUCUUCCUCUACCUCAAAGACUUCGCCCGGUGUUUCGGGUUGAACGAACUCAUCAGGUUCAACACAGAAGUAGUCCACGUCGGCAUGGCCGCAGCAACUGGCAAAUGGAUUGUGAGAUCAAGGGAGAGGAGAACUGAUGAGGGUGAGUUCAUGGAAGAGAUCUUUGAUGCGGUUGUCAUCGCCACCGGCCAUUUCUCCCUACCCAGGCUCCCAAAAAUCAAGGGAAUGGAGGAGUGGAAGAAGAAGCAGCUUCACAGCCAUGUCUACAGAGUCCCAGAGCCAUUCCAAGAUGAGGUGGUAGUGGUCAUUGGUGGCUCAAUCAGUGGACCAGAGAUUGCUCUGGAGCUUCUUCAUGUUGCCAAGGAAGUCCAUAUAAGUACUAAACACGUUGAAAUCCCUCAGCAAUUAGUGAAGCCUGUGUCCAAGUAUGCACAUCUGCUCUGGCACCAAGAGAUUGAGUUGCUUUGUGAAGACGGAACUGUUGUAUUUGCUGAUGGUUCAAGUGUAGUUGCUGAUAUUAUUCUCUACUGUACUGGGUAUUCAUAUUCAUUCCCAUUCCUGGACACCAAAGGAGUCAUCCAUGUGGAUGAGAAAAGAAUUGGACCUUUGUAUGAACACACAUUUCCUCCCUCUCUCGCUCCAUCCCUUUCUUUUGUUGGGAUUCCAAACAAGUUCAUCAUCUUUCGAUUUUUGGAGUCACAAGCGAGAUGGAUAGCUCAGGUGCUCUCUGGGAAGAGGAAGCUACCGUCGGUAGACGAGAUGAUGAAGGCAAUUGAAGAAGACCAGCGGCUUCAAAAGCUUGAGGAACCAAAAAAUACCAUACAAGUAGCAACUGAAAUAUUGGAGGUAAUGGCUUCCAUAUAAGUUUCAAACAACUAGUAUGUGAGACUGAAAACCAGACAGGGACCAAAAAAGUUGCCAGAACUAACAAAACAAAAGUUUUGAAAAGGGGGAAUUUGCAAAUGAUAAGCAAUAGCUUGAAUUUGGGUACGGAGAUCAAUGUGAUUUUCCACACUUGGAAGAUUGGAGAAAAGAGAUCCUCCUGCAUCACUUGGAAAAUGGCAUAAACAACAUCGAAACAUUCAGGGAGGAAUAGCCAGGAUGGUAAUUUGCUUCAAGUGGUUCUUCUUGGAAAUUUGAAAACCCAAUUAGCCAUCUCUAUGAAUUUUUCUUAUACUUUUAUUAUUUACGUUGUCAUUGAUCAAUGAAAUGAGAAUCAACUUGGGAUCAA